rnacentral:rRNA from 1 species
GACAGAGGCCUCAAGCGUUAGGCGGAAUCACUGGGCUUAAAGCGUGUGUAGGCGGAUCGUUAAGUGUCUUGUGAAAUCCCACGGCUCACCCGUGGAACUGCUGGGCAUACUGGCGAUCUUGGGCCAACUAGGGGCAACUGGAACAAGCGGUGGAGCGGUGAAAUGCGUAGAUAUCGCUUGGAACGCCAAAGGUGAAAACAGGUUGCUGAGGUUGUGCCGACGCUGAGACACGAAAGCCAGGGGAGCAAACGGG